rnacentral:rRNA from 1 species
UACGUAGGGUGCGAGCGUUGUCCGGAAUUACUGGGCGUAAAGAGCUUGUAGGUGGUUUGUCGCGUUGUUCGUGAAAUCUCACGGCUCAACUGUGAGCGUGCGGGCGAUACGGGGCAGACUAGAGUACUGCAGGGGAGACUGGAAUUCCUGGUGUAGCGGUGGAAUGCGCAGAUAUCAGGAGGAACACCGGUGGCGAAGGCGGGUCUCUGGGCAGUAACUGACGCUGAGAAGCGAAAGCGUGGGGAGCGAACAGG